rnacentral:ncRNA from 1 species
GAUGAGUUUGAUUCUUGCUUAUUUAUUUGCUUUUAAAUUAUUUUAUAUGUAAGUUUUUGCGUGAUUUAAUUAUUUUUUCUUGAUGAUUAUUUAAUUUUUAUUUAUUCGCAGUAAUAAGUUUUAUAAAUUUAUGGAGGUUUGAUUUGGUAAUUUUGAUUUAUUAUUGGUAAAAUUUGUGCCAGCAUCCGCGGUUAUACAAUAAAUAUAAGUAAAUUUUUUUUAGUUAAAGUAGUUAAAGUUUUAAUUAGAGGUUAUUAGAAUAUUUUUGGGUGAAAUCUUAAUAUUUGUUAUGACCUUGUUUUGGAUUUGAGGCUAUAAAAUCUUUUAUUUUAAACUAGGAUUAGAUACCCUAUUAUUUUAGAUAUAAAUUAUUUUAAUUUGAGUAGUAUUAGAUAAGGUCUUGAAACUUAAAGAAUUUGGCGGUAUUUUAGUCUUUUUAGAGGAAUCUGUCCCUUAAUCGAUAAUCCACGUUGGACCUUACCAAAAUUGAUGCAUGUAUACCGCCGUUAUAAUGAAGAUCUUUUUAGAGUUUAAAAAUUUUCUUGAUUUAAUUUUUAAAACUAUUUCAGGUCAAGGUGCAGUUUAUGUUUUGGUGGAGAUGGAUUACAUUUAUAUUUAUUAUUGGAUUAUUAUUUGAAAUUUUAUUAUGAAAUUGGAUUUAAUUGUAAUUUUUUGUAGAUUGUAAUGGUGAUUAUAGCUCUAAAAUAUGUACACAUCGCCCGUCGCUCUCAUUAUUUGUUAGUUGAGAUAAGUCGUAACAUAGUGGUUGUACCGGAAGGUGUAGCUGGAAUGAC